rnacentral:rRNA from 1 species
AAGACCUUGCGCUGAUUGAGCGGCCGAUAUCAGAUUAGCUAGUUGGUGGGGUAAAAGCUCACCAAGGCGACGAUCUGUAGCGGGUCUGAGAGGAUGAUCCGCCACACUGGAACUGAGACACGGUCCAGACUCCUACGGGAGGCAGCAGUGGGGAAUUUUGGACAAUGGGGGCAACCCUGAUCCAGCCACGCCGCGUGAGUGAAGAAGGCCUUCGGGUUGUAAAGCUCUUUCAGCCGGGAAGAAAACGUAUGGGUUAAUACCCUGUGCGGAUGACGGUACCGGAAUAAGAAGCACCGGCUAACUACGUGCCAGCAGCCGCGGUAAUACGUAGGGUGCGAGCGUUAAUCGGAAUUACUGGGCGUAAAGCGUGCGCAGGCGGUUUUGUAAGACAGGCGUGAAAUCCCCGGGCUUAACCUGGGAACU